rnacentral:rRNA from 1 species
UACGUAGGUGGCAAGCGUUGUCCGGAAUUAUUGGGCGUAAAGCGCGCGCAGGUGGUUUCUUAAGUCUGAUGUGAAAUCCCACGGCUCAACCGUGGAGGGUCAUUGGAGACUGGGGAACUUGAGUGCAGGAGAGAAGAGUGGAAUUCCACGUGUAGCGGUGAAAUGCGUAGAGAUGUGGAGGAACACCAGUGGCGAAGGCGACUCUUUGGCCUGUAACUGACACUGAGGCGCGAAAGCGUGGGGAGCAAACAGG